AGUGAAUAGAUACCCCGGUAGUCCACGCUGUAAACUAUGAAUGCUAGCUGUAAGGAGUAUCGACCCUUCUUGUAGCGAAAGCUAACGCGUUAAGCAUUCCGCCUGUGGAGUACGGUCGCAAGACUAAAACAUAAAGGAAUUGACGGGGACCCGCACAAGCGGUGGAGCGUGUUGUUUAAUUCGAUGCUAAGCGAAGAACCUUACCCAGGUUUGACAUCUUGCUAAUUUCUCCGAAAGGAGAGAGUGCCUUCGGGCCGCAAUGACAGGUGUUGCAUGGCCGUCGUCAGCUCGUGUUGUGAAACGUUAGGUUAAGUCCUAUAACGAGCGCAACCCUUUUGUUUAGUUGUAUUUCUCUAAACAGACUGCCCUGGUAACAGGGAGGAAGGAGGGGUCGAAGUCAGGUCAGUAUUACCCUUACAUCUGGGGCUACAAACACGCUACAAUGGCCGGUACAAA
rnacentral:rRNA from 1 species